UAAUACGGAGGGUGCAAGCGUUACUCGGAAUCACUGGGCGUAAAGGACGCGUAGGCUGUUUAGCAAGUCAGAUGUGAAAUCCAAUGGCUCAACCAUUGAACUGCAUUUGAAACUGCUAGACUAGAGUAUGGGAGGGGCAGAUGGAAUUAGUGGUGUAGGGGUAAAAUCCGUAGAUAUCACUAGGAAUACCUAAAGCGAAGGCGAUCUGCUGGAACAUUACUGACGCUAAGGCGUGAAAGCGUGGGGAGCAAACAGGAUUAGAUACCCUGGUAGUCCACGCCCUAAACGAUGAACACUAGUCGUCGCUCUGCUAGUCAGGGCGGUGAUGCACUUAACAGGUUAAGUGUUCCGCCUGGGGAGUACGGUCGCAAGAUUAAAACUCAAAUGAAUUGACGG
rnacentral:rRNA from 1 species